rnacentral:rRNA from 1 species
AUAACCCCGGGGAACUGGGGAUAAUUCCGGAUAACGCACAUAUGCUGGAAUGCUUUAUGCGUCAAAUGGAUUCGUCUGCCCAAGGAUGGGUCUGCGGCCUAUCAGGUAGUAGUGGGUGUAAUGUACCUACUAGCCAACAACGGGUACGGGUUGUGAGAGCAAGAGCCCGGAGAUGGAUUCUGAGACAUGAAUCCAGGCCCUACGGGGCGCAGCAGGCGCGAAAACUUUACAAUGCGGGAAACCGUGAUAAGGGGACACCGAGUGCCAGCAUCAUAUGCUGGCUGUCCGGGUGUGUAAAAUACACCUGUUAGCAAGGGCCGGGCAAGACCGGUGCCAGCCGCCGCGGUAAUACCGGCGGCUCGAGUGGUGGCCGAUAUUAUUGAGUCUAAAGGGUCCGUAGCCGGCUUUGCAAGUCUCUCGGGAAAUCCAGCGGCUUAACCGUUGGUCGUCCGGGGGGUACUACAUUGCUUGGGACUGGGAGAGGUAGGAGGUACUCAGGGGGUAGGAGUGAAAUCCUGUAAUCCUUUGGGGACCACCGGUGGCGAAGGCGUCCUACCAGAACAGGUCCGACGGUGAGGGACGAAAGCUAGGGGCACGAACCGGAUUAGAUACCCGGGUAGUCCUAGCCGUAAACGAUGCUCGCUAGGUGUCACAACAGUCGUGAAUUGUUGUGGUGCCGUAGGGAAGCCGUGAAGCGAGCCACUUGGGAAGUACGACCGCAAGGUUGAAACUUAAA